AUGCUGGAGAUUCCACCAUGUUGCUUUCAUCCAUCCAGUCAGAUUGAGUCAGAUUGGAUAGGAGGUGGACUUUCCACCAUGUUGCAUUCAUCCCAUCCAGUCAGAUUGGAUAUGUUUCAUUCAUCCAUCCAGUCAGAUUGGAUAUGUUUCAUCCAUCCAUCCAGUCAGAUUGGAUAGGAGGUGGAGAUUCCACCAUGUUGCAUUCAUCCAUCCAGUCAGUCCUGUCAGAUCUGUGAAGGCGAGUGAACGUGGGCUGAGGGGGGAAAACAACAACUUUCUGGAAUGAAAAGCAAUUUUACAUGACCACAACCUUAUUAUUCAUGGACCAAGAAGGCCAGGUGGUUCAUGUUCCAAGCCUUUAGGGACAGUUGACACAGAACACCGCCCUAUGGACACGUAGAGUGACACAACAUACGGUAAAUACUGUACAAACCUACAGUGCCUUUAAAUAUCCACUGAGUCACAUGCAGUGCAUACAGACAGACAUAGAGACAGACACAGUCGACUAUACUGUAGCAACAUUGUGAGGGAGGGAAUGUCAGGUGUAGAAUGAUGCCUAUGUGAUUUAAGACUAUGGAAGUCAGCUGAGCUAAAGCCUAGGGGUUUGUUCUGGGAGCUAACACGAGUUUGUCCUCAAGUCACGAACCAUCUCUGUUACAGUGUAAACAUACAUUGGUAUAAUGUCCACAGGUGAGUGACUAUAACAUGUAAAUAUAUAAGAUAGUAGAAUAAUAAUAAAAAAUAACAGAUUAACACGUUUAGAUACAGUUUAAAACAUUAAACA
rnacentral:lncRNA from 13 species